CAGGAGCGAGAUACACACACGAGGGGACGAGACCUCACGAUUAGCUCCUUCAGCCGCUUCACUCCCGUUCCCCAUUCUCUCCCACUACGAACCCUAGCCACCACCACCCGCUGCUGUCGCCAUGGCUGCGCACCUUGAUCGAUGAAGACCGGUGCCCACUGCCCGAGCGACGGCCCUAACCGGUGAAGAACGGUGCUCCAAGCGGAGGCCCUGACCGGCACGCCAAGCGGCGGCCCUGACCGCAGAAGACCGGCGCCCUGAGUGGCGGCCCUGACCAUUGAAGAUUGGCGCCCCGAGAGGUGGCCUCAAGACCCGCGCCCCGCGCCGCCAACCCCAACCUCCUCUGCAGUUCAUCACUAGCACCCGUUUUCUUCCAUACUGUUCGUUGGCUAGCUGCCUGCUGCCAAUUUUGGUUCUCCACAUCGCAGCUGAAGGUGAGCUACUUCAUCUCUCUCUGUAAAUCUGUGAUUCCCAUGAAAAUAAGCCUGCAGCAGGCAUUUUCUAGGCAACACAUGUCCUUGCUCUAUGUCGAAUGUUAGCAUUUGGAGAGAUCAAGUAGAACUCUAUACUAAGCUUAACUAGAGGAUAUCAAAUAGAAUCUGUAGCCAUUUGGGUUGUUCUGCAGACAUAUUAUUUGUUUUCUAUUUAUUUCUGCACUUUGGCUUGUGUCGUCCGUUCAACCUUGAUAAACCAACACAUUAAAAUGGAUCAUUCAGAGUGCGGAUUUGGGCUUGUGUCGUCCAUUUAACUAGAGAACAACUAGUAGGACUAGAUAAUUCCUAUGUACACAGUAAUGCAAUUGUGCUUGUUUCCUGAGACUAGAUAUACACAUGGUGUAUAUCAUUUUGGUAGUUGGUAAGAGAUACACAAAGAUAUAUACUAGAUAUUAUAUACAUUUAUUUAUGUUGUGAUUUUCUCGUGUUAAUGUUGUUUGACAAACCAAUGUCCUCUUUUUUGUACAUGCUUUCUAUACUGGAAACUAAACAUGAUGAGGAGCUGAAUGACAAAGACGGUGAUGGUGUUAGUUGCUUGUCCUUUUUGCUGUCAAAUAUAAAUAAGUGUUCCUGCAUGAAUCUUGUUGCUGGUGAAGUGGUGAUUAUAUAUAGUGCUGACUUUAUAUUUUAAGAUUUUCAUGUGGUGUACUAUACUCCGUGCAUAUUGCAUACAAGUGUUACUUGUUUGAACUUUUCUUAUGUACACAUCCGCCUACAUACAACAUUUGUUGCCUCUGUACACGCACACCUUUGUACACACAUAUAUCUCUAUACUCAAUGUAGUUUGUA